rnacentral:rRNA from 1 species
CCUACGGGUGGCAGCAGUGAGGAAUAUUGGUCAAUGGACGAGAGUCUGAACCAGCCAAGUAGCGUGAAGGAUGACUGCCCUAUGGGUUGUAAACUUCUUUUAUAUGGGAAUAAAAUGUUCCACGUGUGGGAUUUUGUAUGUACCAUAUGAAUAAGUAUCGGCUAACUCCGUGCCAGCAGCCGCGGUAAUACGGAGGAUCCGAGCGUUAUCCGGAUUUAUUGGGUUUAAAGGGAGCGUAGGUGGAUUGUUAAGUCAGUUGUGAAAGUUUGCGGCGCAACCGUAAAAUUGCAGUUGAAACUGGCAGUCUUGAGUACAGUAGAGGUGGGCGGAAUUCGUGGUGUAGCGGUGAAAUGCUUAGAUAUCACGAAGAACUCCGAUUGCGAAGGCAGUUCACUGGACUGCAACUGACACUGAGGCUCGAAAGUGUGGGUAUCAAACAGGAUUAGAUACCCUUGUAGUC